rnacentral:rRNA from 1 species
CCCUUAGAUGUUCUGGGCCGCACGCGCGCUACACUGACGAAUGCAACGAGCUUAUAACCUUGGCCGAAAGGUCUGGGUAAUCUCCAAAUUUCGUCGUGAUGGGGAUAGAUUAUUGCAAUUAUUAAUCUUCAACGAGGAAUGCCUAGUAAGCGCAAGUCAUCAGCUUGCGUUGAUUACGUCGCUGCCCUUUGUACACACCGCCCGUCGCUCCUACCGAUUGAAUGGUCCGGUGAAGCGUUCGGACCGUGGCCUUUGGACGGUUCGCCGUCUGUUGGCUGCGGGAAGUUCGUUAAACCUUAUCAUUUAGAGGAAGGAGAAGUCGUAACA